ACCAUGACUAUGUGGUCACUUUGACCUUGACAUCACAGAAGAUUGUGAAUAAUAAAUAAGGGGGCUGGACGGCGGAGCUCGGUGGUUUGUUUGUGGGCAAACAAGGUGUUAUUUCCCCCGUCUAGACAGCCGGGGCUUAAUGGCAUGCCAUAAAUUCAUAAAAAGGGGAAGUGCAGCGAUAUCCUUUGACCUGGGUUUUUCUGACCAUCUUUCGGAGCUUUACGCCGACAUUUGGGCGCUUUUCAGUUUUUGGGGAAGUGCGCAAAAAGUAUAGUUAUAUGCAUCGUGUUCCUAAGCGUCUGCGAGUCAGCAAUAGUUUCAUGCAGUUACCACGAGGAGUGUGUGUGUGUGUGUGUGUGUGUGUGUGUGUGUGUGUGUGUGUGUGUGUGUGUGUGUGUGUGUGUGUGUGUGUUAUUGACCACGGCGGACAGGUAGGACUUUUGACGGUUCUCACCAACAGCAUCAAUCUGCAGCAAUCCGAAGCACCGGGCCACACAAUCAGCACAGCAAGAGGAAAUAACACGACAUCGCCCACAAUAUAGCCAUUAAAGCAGAGCCUGGAGACUGCCUGUGCAGACACGCAUUUGCUUGGAUCUGUGGACCGGAGGCGUGGAGAGACGAGGCUGGGAGGUGCAACACAUUGCGUCUUCUUCUCCCCCGAGACCCAAUGGCUUCAACUCGCUGACCCUGUUACUGUAAAUAUGAGCAAUGAGGAUCAGUCUUUUUCUUAAAACAAGCUUGUAAAUUGGGGCAUCACGAUUUUAUGUGAC